GUGAUAUGAAUGCUGCAGAGAAAACAAGAAUUUGAUUGGAACAGCAAGAUAUGCAAGCAUGAACACCCACCUUGGGAUUGAGCAAAGCCGGAGGGAUGAUUUGGAAUCUCUUGGUUACGUCCUGAUGUACUUCCUUAAGGGAAGUCUUCCUUGGCAGGGACUAAAAGCGGAAACUAAGAAACAGAAAUAUGAAAAAAUUAGUG